UAACGCGUGAGGAACCUGCCUUGGGGAGGGGAAUAACACUCCGAAAGGAGUGCUAAUACCGCAUGAUGCAGUUGGGUCGCAUGGCUCUGACUGCCAAAGAUUUAUCGCUCUGAGAUGGCCUCGCGUCUGAUUAGCUAGUAGGCGGGGUAACGGCCCACCUAGGCGACGAUCAGUAGCCGGACUGAGGGGUUGACCGGCCACAUUGGGACUGAGACACGGCCCAG
rnacentral:rRNA from 1 species